UACGGAGGGGGCUAGCGUUGUUCGGAAUUACGGGGCGUAAAGCGUACGUAGGCGGCUUUGUAAGUUAGAGGUGAAAGCCCGGGGCUCAACCCCGGAAUUGCCUCUAAGACUGCAUCGCUUGAACGUCGGAGAGGUGAGUGGAAUUCCGAGUGUAGAGGUGAAAUUCGUAGAUAUUCGGAAGAACACCAGUGGCGAAGGCGGCUCACUGGACGACUGUUGACGCUGAGGUACGAAAGCGUGGGGAGCAAACAGG
rnacentral:rRNA from 1 species